GAUGAACGCUGGCGGCGUGCCUAAUACAUGCAAGUCGAGCGAACGGACGAGAAGCUUGCUUCUCUGAUGUUAGCGGCGGACGGGUGAGUAACACGUGGAUAACCUACCUAUAAGACUGGGAUAACUUCGGGAAACCGGAGCUAAUACCGGAUAAUAUUUUGAACCGCAUGGUUCAAAAGUGAAAGACGGUCUUGCUGUCACUUAUAGAUGGAUCCGCGCUGCAUUAGCUAGUUGGUAAGGUAACGGCUUACCAAGGCAACGAUGCAUAGCCGACCUGAGAGGGUGAUCGGCCACACUGGAACUGAGACACGGUCCAGACUCCUACGGGAGGCAGCAGUAGGGAAUCUUCCGCAAUGGGCGAAAGCCUGACGGAGUAACGCCGCGUGAGUGAUGAAGGUCUUCGGAUCGUAAAACUCUGUUAUUAGGGAAGAACAUAUGUGUAAGUACCUGUGCACAUCUUGACGGUACCUAAUCAGAAAGCCACGGCUAACUACGUG
rnacentral:rRNA from 1 species